rnacentral:rRNA from 1 species
UCCGGUUGAUCCUGCCGGAGGCUACUGCUAUUGGGAUUCGACUAAGCCAUGCGAGUCGAGAGGGUUCGGCCCUCGGCAUACUGCUCAGUAACACGUGGAUAACCUAACCUCAGGUGGGGGAUAACCUCGGGAAACUGAGAAUAAUACCCCAUAGACCUUGGAUGCUGGAAUGCACCUAGGUCCAAAGAUUUAUCGCCUGAGGAUGGGUCUGCGGCCUAUCAGGUUGUAGUUGGUGUAACGGACCAACUAGCCUUCGACGGGUACGGGCGUUGAGAGACGUAGCCCGGAGAUGGACUCUUAGACACCAGUCCAGGCCCUACGGGGCGCAGCAGGCGCGAAAACUUCGCAAUGCGGGAAACCGCGACGAGGGAAUCCCAAGUGCGUGCACAAUGUGUACGCUGAUUCUUUGUCUAAAAAACGAAGAGAGUAAGGGCUGGGUAAGACCGGUGCCAGCCGCCGCGGUAAUACCGGCAGCUCUAGUGGUAGCCGUUUUUAUUGGGCUUAAAGCAUCCGUAGCCGGUCGGGUAAAUCCCUGGGUAAAUCGUACGGCUUAACCGUGCGAAUUCCGGGGACACUGCCUGACUUGGGACCGGGAGAGGUUAGAGGUACUCUUUGGGUAGGGGUAAAAUCCUGUAAUCCUUAGAGGACGACCAGUGGCGAAGGCGUCUAACCAGAACGGAUCCGACGGUGAGGGAUGAAGCCCUGGGGCACGAACGGGAUUAGAUACCCCGGUAGUCCAGGGUGUAAACGCUGCAGACUUGGUGUUGGUUGUCCUACGAGGGCAACCAGUGCCGGAGAGAAAUUGUUAAGUCUGCCGCCUGGGGAGUACGCUCGCAAGAGUGAAACUUAAAGGAAUUGGCGGGGGAGCACAGCAACGGGUGGAGCGUGCGGUUUAAUUGGAUCAACGCCGGAAACCUCACCGGGGAAGACUGUUACAUGAAGGCCAGGCUGACGACCUUGCCUAAUUUUCAGAGAGGUGGUGCAUGGCCGCCGUCAGUUCGUACCGUAAGGCGUUCUGUUAAGUCAGAUAACGAACGAGACCCUCGUCUUUAUUUGCCCGCGACCCUCCGGGGAAGCAGCACUAUAAAGGGACCGCCUCUGCUAAAGAGGAGGAAGGAGAGGGCAACGGUAGGUCAGUAUGCCCCGAAUUUCCCGGGCUACACGCGCGCUACAAAGGGCGGGACAAUGGGCUGCAACACCGAAAGGUGACGCCAAACCCGAAACCCGCUCAUAGUUCGGAUUGUGGGCUGCAAUUCGCCCUCAUGAAGCUGGAAUCCGUAGUAAUCGCGUUUCAACAUAACGCGGUGAAUACGCCCCUGCUCCUUGCACACACCGCCCGUCAAACCAUCUGAGUUGGGUCUGAGUGAGGGUGCCUCGUCAUUGGGGUAUUCGAACUUGGGUUCAGCAAGGAGGG